GCUGGCCCUGCGAACGAACGAGCACUGUUCGUGGUUAGAAAAGCGAAGUGCUGUAAAAACCCGGGCCUUCACGAAAAGCGCCUACGGUUAGCGAGAGAGGGAUCACGGGGAGAGGCGAAGGGGCGGAGCGAGGGCGGCCGGAAAAGGAGCAGGACCCGCGCCUGGAGAAGGACAAUAUAUGAAGAGCUUAGUGAAGUUUGAUUGGAACUGAAAAACAUCAGUAUGAAAGCAUCAAGUGGAUAAAUCUCAGAAACAUAAUCUCUAGAGGAACAAGCAAAUCACAGAGAAAUACCUACAGUGUGAUUCCAUUGAUAUAAAGUCAAAGGCAGGGAAAACCAACAGUAUCUUGUGUAGGAAUAUGGACAUCUCUGAUAAAACAAUGAAGAACAAGUGAAUAAUUAUCACAAAAUUCAGCAUAAUGGUGACCACCUCUAGAGGAGGACAGAAGAGGGUAGCAUUGGAGCCUUCUCUUACGUUGGAUAGCACAUUCAUGUAUGUUAAUUUUACUACUCUUCUUUAGAGCUAACAUAUAUUUUAUAAAUAUCAUUUUUUAUCUGUCUUAUAUUUAAUAAAAACACAUUUUUAAAA
rnacentral:lncRNA from 10 species